rnacentral:rRNA from 1 species
UACGUAGGGGGCAAGCGUUGUCCGGAAUUAUUGGGCGUAAAGAGCUCGUAGGUGGUUUGUUACGUCUGCUGUGAAAACCUAGGGCUUAACCCUGGGCUUGCAGUGGAUACGGGCAGACUAGAGUUCGGCAGGGGAGACUGGAAUUCCUGGUGUAGCGGUGAAAUGCGCAGAUAUCAGGAGGAACACCGGUGGCGAAGGCGGGUCUCUGGGCCGAUACUGACGCUGAGGAGCGAAAGCGUGGGGAGCGAACAGG